rnacentral:rRNA from 1 species
AUGACAAGGCCUGUGCAAGCGCUAAGAGGAGCUGCGCCACAACUUCUGAUGGAUACGAUACUAGCAAGAGGGCAUGCGCGACCUCCUAUGGGUCCUAGACCAGCAAUUUGGCAUGCACCACAAGCUAUGGGGGCUAUACAACCACCGCGGGGGCCUAACGCAGCAAACACAACCUAUGUGGCUAGUCCUGGACCGGCACCAUUGCCUGCGUCAACAGCAACAGUGGAUGGCAGGUAUGGGCAGCAUCCAGGGUCUUCAACUACACAAGAAGAAAAUGCCAAUGCAAUUUCAUCUCCUAUUGCGCAAGCUCCUGGUGGAUAUGCGCACCAGCCGCUCAGUAUGGCAUCUCUGCAUGCAGCUGUUGCAGCCGCACACGGUACUACAAUGGUUGAACCAUAG